rnacentral:rRNA from 1 species
UUAAAUUGAAGAGUUUGAUCAUGGCUCAGAUUGAACGCUGGCGGCAGGCCUAACACAUGCAAGUCGAACGGUAGCACAGAGAGCUUGCUCUCGGGNNNNNNNNNNACCUGAUGGAGGGGGAUAACUACUGGAAACGGUAGCUAAUACCGCAUAACGUCGCAAGACCAAAGAGGGGGACCUUCGGGCCUCUUGCCAUCAGAUGUGCCCAGAUGGGAUUAGCUAGUAGGUGGGGUAACGGCUCACCUAGGCGACGAUCCCUAGCUGGUCUGAGAGGAUGACCAGCCACACUGGAACUGAGACACGGUCCAGACUCCUACGGGAGGCAGCAGUGGGGAAUAUUGCACAAUGGGCGCAAGCCUGAUGCAGCCAUGCCGCGUGUAUGAAGAAGGCCUUCGGGUUGUAAAGUACUUUCAGCGGGGAGGAAGGCGUUGUGGUUAAUAACCACAGCGAUUGACGUUACCCGCAGAAGAAGCACCGGCUAACUCCGUGCCAGCAGCCGCGGUAAUACGGAGGGUGCAAGCGUUAAUCGGAAUUACUGGGCGUAAAGCGCAC